UGUCCUUAGAGUUCAAAUCCGCGCGCCCAGUUCGAACUGUCCAGAAACCACUCCUGCAGCCCAGUAUAAAUAAGUGGGUAGGCUUAUGGGACUCACGCUGCUCAAACUACACCUCCAAGAAGGCACGCAUUAACCUUCAGAUCGAACAAAUUGUGGGGAAGUGUGAUUCACUCCUCUUCGCCAUCUAAUCUUCAUCAAGGGCAAGCCAAGUUUAACAGAACUUGCUCCAGUGGCAUGCCAAGUGCUCAUACAAGUCUAUUUAUAUAUAUGUGAGCCAACAAAUAUGACAAGCUCAAGUCACUCGUCUUUGGAUGAUGAAGUGACAAAAGAAUCAUCUAUGAUUUUUCGUACUAAUGGCAUGCUCAUAUCAACUGAUGACUUGGUGCGAGGUGAAAGUUCAAAAGAUGGAUGACGUGAGAGCCCUAGAGCUAAUAUUGUUGGCAUAAAUGUUUUGAUCAAACAACUAAAGAAGAGUAUACUAUGCUGAGAAAUGACUUCAUGGCCUGAUAGAUGCCUAAGUAAGUCUGGUGGCAUGAAAUGUUCAAUUCCUGGAUGAAUGGUAACACAGUAGCUUGUUUUGCUUUCUACAGCCUUUCCAAGGAAAGAAGCAGUUAUGUUGCAGUGGUAAUAAGGCUUGACAUGAUGAUAUGUAUUGGAGAUUGCUUGUUGUGCUGGAGAUUUUGGGAGAUCUGGUGUGAGUGCAGUCAUCACAUUUAUCACAAUUCGGAGUUAUCGCCUGCAAUGCUCACGCGGCUUGCGAUUGACGAAGCCAAUGUUCGAAGGAUGCUGACGCACGACACAUCAUUUUGCCAAAUUAAUCUAGCUUACCGAGCCCGAUCAUUUUGGUUGACCUUGUAUGUACUCUCUUAUAUAUGCAAGUUAUGUACCAAUUGUUCCUACGAGAUGGAGAUGGAGCAGAAAGAGUUUG